rnacentral:lncRNA from 1 species
GCCAUGAAUGAGAAUUCCUGUUGUUUCAUGUCCUUGUUAACAUGUGGUAUUAUCAGUGUUCUGGAUUUAGGCCAUCCUAAUAGGUGUGUAAAGGUCUCUCACUGUGGUUUUAAUUUGCAUAUCCCUAAUGGCAUAUGUUGGGAAGCAUCUUUUCAUAUGCUUAUUUUCCAUCUGCAUAUCUUCUUUCGUGAAGUGUCUGUUAAGGUAUUUGGCCCGUUUUUUAGAUUGAGUUGUUUACUUUCUUACUGUUGAGUUUUAAGGGUUCUUUGUAUAUUUUGGAUAACAGUCUUUUAUCAGACGUGUCUUUUGCAAAUAUUUUCUCCCCAUCUGUGGCUUGUCUUCUCAUUCUUUGACAUUGUCUUUUGCAGAGUAGAAGGUUUUCAUUUUAAUGAAAUACAGUGUAUCAAUUAUUUCAUUCAUGGGUGCAGCGUGCUUUUUAACCAGAUAUCUAACAUGUAUCUUUUCUAAGAUGCAUAGAGAUGUUUAAUGCCAUUCACAUUCCCAGAUACCUAAUUCUCUGGGUUUGUGUCAGCAUGUUUGCACAUGAGUUUUGUUUUGUUUUUUUCCUUCUGGUGGAGAAUUUUCUUUAUGGACUAAAUUAUCAGACUAUCUGACUCAAAUUUUGCACGUUCAUUCACAGUUGAUAGCCUUUCUCAUACAUAUGCUUUUUCCUCAUCAGAGUCUUAUAGAUCAUUAACUCUGGAGGAAUCCUUUUAUAAAUAUUUUCACCUCAGGGUAGGGAUUUGGAGGGAAGGAAGGAAACUUUCCUAAUUUGUUCUUUUUGGAUGGAACAGAUAGAUUUAGGUGGCAAAAUAAGUGACAGAUGCAUAGUAUGGGUUCAAUAAAUGGUAGAUUAAAAAUAUUAUGGUCGUUAGUUUAUAAUUUUCCUGAGCCAGCCACGGUUGUCUUGUUCCAAUGCCUAGCAUUCUUCUUAGCAUGUAGGCUUUUGUCUUAGGUAGAGUUCUUUAGAAGCAAACUCCAAGAUAAGGGUUUGUGUGCCAACAAUUAAUUAAAGAAGUUCUCCCAGGAGACACUGGUAAAGAAUUGGGGAAAGUGGAACGAGAAGAAAAAUACAAGGACAUGUGGGAUUCAGGCAAAGGUUACCCGCAGAGGUGAUCUGAUGCUCUGGAGAGUAAAUCAUCCCUCAGAAAGAAGGAAAAGAGAAAAGUGAUAUUAUUGACUCUGAAGAAGGAGGAAGAGGGUCAAUGAGCCAAUGAAUGUGGGAGGUCUUGAGAAGCUGGAGAAGGCAAGGACAUGGAUUCUCCCCUAGAGCUUCGAGAAGGAACUCCAGCCUCGCAACAUCCAGAGAGAACCGUGUCUGACUGUUACCAACUGUAAAGUAAUCAUUUGCAUCUUAAGCCACCAAGUUUGGGAUAAUUUGUUAUGGCAGCAACAGAUAACUAAUAUGGCCACACGAACUUCUAGUCACUUCAAGUUCUCUGCUCUCUGCUCUUACGUGCAAAGCAACUCCAGUGGCCUACGGGAAAUUCUCCAAAGAACCUUUGCAGGUACAGGAAUUGGAGGCAAAAGUACACCAAAGUAGGAUGAACAUAAAAAUGGCAAAAGGGACCCCUGGAGAUCUGGAGAGCCCCCAACAGUGUUUGCUGCUGUGCUCAGUAAGUAUUCAUUACCCGAAUGGAUGGAUGAAUAAAUAAUUGAAUAAAGAAGUUUAUGUAAACUACUGGAGCAGAGAGAUUGUGUAAGAAAUGGUUUCUUGUCACAGGUAGACAUGUUGGCAGUUGCCAUUCGAAGAGUGUAUUUGGCAAUAAACACAUUCUUCUACAUGUAAUGCCUUUCCCUUGUUUUUUAGGUUUCCAAGAGGCCAGUGGAUUGAAAUAGUAAAAGUAAUAAAAACGAGCAAUCUUUAAAGUUAUGUCUAUGCUGUAGAAAUCCUCCAGAAAAUUCAACAAUUCUUUAGAGAAUGUCAUUGCAGCCUAAGUACCUGACUUGUAAACUGUUGUAACUAACCAGCUGGAGAAUUCAUCAUCCUCUAGAGUAUUUGGCUUGCUUGGCAGAAAAACAAAACAAAUCUCCCUAGAAAUGAAAAAAGGAACGCUUUUAGAAGCAAAUGUUGAGACCUCAAGGUCAAGAAAAAUUGCCCAAUGGAAUAUUCUCCGCUUCUCUAUGCUUGUCCUCUCUUCUUACUCUUUCUUUUCCACCAUUUGUGCAUGAGCAAGAACUCUGAAUCGUCUUUCUUACAGUUAGAGUAAAAUCUUUAUACGUGAACAAUAGAGUCCAUAUCCAUGUAUAUAAGAGUCAGAACGAGAAACACCUGAGUAGAAUAUAAGACAUAAUGGAAAUGAAUUUGCUAACAUCCUGAAUUUAUGGACAUGAUUUCUGUCUAUUACAUGGUUUCAGAUCACCUAAACUUAGCAGAUGAUUUAGAAGUUCCCUCUGUGGCACAAUGGAAUUGGCAGCCUCUUGGAAAUGCUGGGACUUGGGUUCGGUCCCCGGCCCAGCACAGUGGAUUUAGUAUCUGGUGUUGCCACAGCUGUAGCUUAGGUGGAAGCAGCAGCUUGAAUCUGAUACCUGGCUUGGGAACUCCAUAUGCCACAGGGUGGCCAAAAAAAAAAAAAAAAAAAAAGAGAGAGAGAGAUUAUUUAAAUCUAAUAAGAUUAGUAAUGAGGUUAUGAGAAUCUGCCUGGGAGAUGCCUUUCAUUCCAGCUCCCCCCUGCUCCCUUAAAUUGCUUUUGAGUGACAAUUUCAUUUUCUUUUUUUUUUUUUUUUUUUAUUUUCCCACUGUACAGCAAGGGGGUCUUGGGCAUCUAUCCGGACAAAGCUCUACUUAAAAGAGACACAUGCACCCGCAUGUUCAUUGCAGCACUAUUCACAAUAGUCUUUUUUUUUUAGGGCAGCACCUGUGGCAUAUGGAGGGUCCCAGGCUAGGGGUCAAAUUAGAGCUGUGGCCUCUGGCCUAUGGCAUAGCCACAGCAACACCAAAUCUGAGCUAUGUCUGUGACCUAUACCACAGCUCAUAGCAACGCUGAUCCUUAACCCACUGAAGGAGGCCAGGGAUUGAACCUGCAUCCUCAUGGAUCCCAGUCAGAUUUGCUUCCGCUGAGCCGCGAUGGGAACUCUGACAUUUUCUUUUUUUUCUCCUCCACCGAAACAUUUUAGUAAUACUUUAUUGCUGCAUAGAGAGUACAGCUAUACCACCAUGAGUAUGGAUACGUGCCUUUUCUAUUUAAAUGCCCCGUCAGUAAGAAUGCUUUGGGUUGCAAGUAGGAGAAAAUGCCGCCAAAAGAGGCUUAAACAGUAAGGGAUUUAUUACCUCUGCAAGGAAGCUGAGAGACAAGACAGGUUCUGGAUUGAUUUCGUGAGCAGGUGAGGACCCAGGCACUUUCCCUGUUUCUACUGAUCAGGUCACGAUGACUCAGCUCACGGUCCCGGCUUCACUGCAGAGGUUCAGAUAGUCUCUCCAGCUAUACCGCAUGUGUUGAAGAAGCAUUUUCCUCAAGCGCGUCUCCUUUAAUAUGGAGUCAAGCCUUUCAAAAUGUCCCCACUCUACCCUAAGCUUACUGUUCUUCAGAUCACAUUAGCCAGGAUGAGAUCACAUGUCCAAGAAGCAAGGAGGGCUUGGGAACUGAGUGUCUGUAACAGCCAUGUUUAGCUUCUAGAGUGGGGGGCCUGCACUGCCAUGAGGACAGUGAAGGCAUGGCCACGGCUGUUGGGGUACAGCUCUGGGUGGAGGUACCUGUUGCUGUGACGGUGAAAUGAGAUCACGUUGAUAAGUGCUCAGUAUGGACCCUACAAGUGCACUCAGUCUCCAGAUGCCUUUUGAUGCAUAAUUCCUUGAAAGUUCGUUUGCUACUCUGUUAUCAUUUUUAAUGCCCAGAUGCAAUACCAGGCUGGUAUUAAAACAAGCAUAAACAUUUUUAUUUAAUGAGUCUCUCAAAGCAAACACAGGGCCAUUGUUUUGUAUGACACUGAAAAGUAGCUAAAAUUCUUCUUCCCUCAUUCAUCUUCACUUCUCUAAUAUUCUCUUAUUUUCACAAAGGCUCCCUAUUGUUCUUGGGGUCCCCCCGCCCCGUGCUGGCCCUUCUCUUAGGUCCUUUUACCUGACCUUCCUCUUUAUUAUGUAGAUCAAUGUAGUCUCUCUACUCUUCUUUCAGUUUUCCUUUUCACCCAAUAUUCUGAUCUCCACAAUGAAGUCUCAGGAAUGGAACAGGUUAAAGCAGAAUUCUCUUAAGAAGCAAGGCAUUAAAAAAAAAAUGGGAAAAAAGAAGCAAGGCAUAAAAGAGAAGGUUAUGAAUACAUAAAAUGGAGUAACGCGUGCGUUUCUAUUUCCCUUGUCACUGAGCUGUAAUACUCCAGCAGAAACCCUAACGUUUUUCAGUGUCUUCUCCGAAGAGGACCAGGAAUGGAAGCAAGACCACUUUUUCAUUUGUCAAGCAGAUCCACCCAUGUUUUGCUGGCAGCCUUGUUCUGUUAGAGUAGCACCUUAUCCCCCACAUAGCAGUGUUUGACCCAGCUCCGACACUCCAGGAAAGGAAGCGGUCCCGCUGAUCUUAAAGGUGCUCGCUACCUUCUGUCUCCCUCACUGUGGUUUUAAUUUCCCCGGCCCAGGGGUGGUGGGUGACCACGUAGACCCAAAUUCCUCUUUGCCUUCAAAACUGUGCGCUCUCUGUUAAUGCUGCAUGUACAAAUGGGCACUGCAUUUGGAUUUUAUUUUUCUUUUGCCACUUGCUGAACCAUACCAGCUGCCCUCUGGGUUUGAAAGGAGAAUUAGUUACAUCCACCAUUAGUUUUAUGACUUUAUUUUUUGUGUUGUCUGAAAGAAAGUGCUCAGACAGACACUUAAUUGCAGAAACAAGUCAGCUAGUGUCCCGUACUUUGGGGACAAUAUUGCUGAUUAUUGCCUUUGAGGGCCAUUCCAAUCAAUAAAACUGGAGGCUGGGUAGAAAAUCCAGGUCCCUUUAUUUCAGGUACAUUAUAUGCCCUCCCCCCACCUCCCCUUUUUUAAAUGUGAAAACUUCUUCACUCAGAUCUUUUACUGCCUUAGAACAGUUAGACCUUAAACCAAGAAGUGGUACCUGAGUGAGUCUCCUUGGAACCCCUGCUGGCUUCCUUUGAAGGCCCAGGCUCCAUCCUUUGGAGCGGGAAGAUGGUUCACUGGAAAGCAGUAGGCAUGUGAGUGGAGGGCCAGUGGCUCUCAUUUGCUUCCUUUGUAACAAGCAGAAGGACAAUCCCCCUUCUGACUGUGGUUUAGCAAGAAAGUUACCUGGAGGAGAGGUCUGGGCCCAUUUCUCUUGGUAUCGUUUAUGAGACCAAGGACUUGAGAGUCCAGGAAGGCACGGGUAGUGUGGGGAUGAAGGAGGACCAGGCAAAGAGAAGCAAGUUUUCAUCUUUUUAUUCAUCGCAGACUGUGCCUGCUUGAAAGCAGUUUUUAAUGGAAGGGGUUGGGGCCGUUCUCUUCACCUACUGAAAUGAAAAAGGUUUGUCUUGUUUUAUAUUAAGUUCAGGGAAAGGUGAUAAAAAUAAUAGCAAAAAUUUGGUAUGCUAAGCAUUUCACAUAAGUUAUAUCAUCUUAUAUAAGCCUCUAAUGUUGAUGCUCUUAUUGUCCUAUUAUUCUCAUUUUAUUGACUAGGUAAGAGGUUUAGCAAGGUUAGUCACUUGUGUAAGGUCACAUAGCUGGUCCUAAGCACUGCAUUAUAUGGCCUCUUGACCAUGUUAUUAGGAUGUAUCAACAUCUUUAUGGAGAAUAACAUUGUUGCCAAGUAUGAACGACCUCAUUUCAAAAAUUCAUUUUCUAAGACCAAAGCAUUCACAUGCCAGGGGUGGGUUAUCUGAUUCACCAGAAUCCUCUACUGAAUAAAUGGCCCCAUUUUUUUUUUUUUCAAUCUUGCAAAUAUUGAGAAGUGGUACAUUUUUGUUUUCUGUAACCGUGUCCCCUGGCCUACUGCUUUGGAUAAUAUGCAUGUGCUGUGAUUCAAAUAAUAGAAGUAGAGACAAAGAGUUUGGGGAAAGGGGAUUACAUGGAAAAAAGGUCUUUACACUAAGCAUAACACAAAAAUUAGAAUUUGAUUUUUAACAACAACAAAAAAUACAAGGACAAGUGUUUAUCUGUCUCACAAGAAAAAUAAGGAAUCUAUAAUGCUGGUAUUGUCAGCAAAAAAUUAAGUUUCACUAUACAUGGAUAAAUAAAAGGAUUGCAGCUCACAAAACCUGAUCGGUAAUCAUUCAUGGCUGGCUAUCCUGGAAAUCAAUAUAGAUUGUUCUGUGAUCAAAAUAACUGCAGAGUUCUAAACCGGUCAAGCCUACUGGCUGUGACUGACUUUAUAGAACCACCUGGCCACACUCAGCUAUGACCUGAGCCUGUGCUUGCAUUAGUGCCAGAACAGUCUUUUCAGCCUCUCAAAGGGAAGAAUACUGAAUCAAAUAAAAUAUGGACUGAUUUGAAAAGUUGAGGGAAGUAAGUGCCUUGGGCCCCUCAUAUUGCCAGGAAGUCCUUCACUGAAUAAAUC